AAUAGAUUAGAUUAUUACAUUAGAAAUAAUUUAAGGUAAGUAAGUAGCGUGGUAUUGUGAUAGAGGUUUCAAACUCAGGAACUGGAAUUAUAGUCUGGGAAAUUGAUUGAGUUUCAUCCACAGCAGGGGAGGGGCCUCAGGGGAUGUUCUGGAACCUGGGAAGAGCAAGAGUUUUCUAUCAGAGAGAGGCAGUUAGCUCUCUCAAUCCUGAGAGCCUAAGGAGAGGUCUGGUCAAGACUUUGCUCCUGAGAAAAAAACUUACAUCUUCCUCCUAGUGAUUGGAUACCCUUCCCCCCACAGAUUCCCACUUGAAGUUGGGAGUGUUAGAGAAUACACCAAGCAGCUGACAAGAUUACCUCUCAGCUCCUGGUGCCCGGGGUCUGAAGUGUGCCUGUGGGGCCAAGACCAGGGCCAUCCAAGCCUGAAUCUCUCAGGGGCCCAAGGCUACCAAGAUCUGUGUUCCCCAACUUGAGGAAGGAGACAAACCCUCUAUUACAGUAUCCGGCUGAUUCCAUGCUAAAAGACAAACUGGAGGAGUUGUGAUAGGGGAAUGAUCCAGAGACCUUGAAGGGCAGAGCCUGGAAGACAUGCAAAGUUGGCAGGAUUGGAUGGUUUUCAUGGUUGAAAGAGGCGAAGGUCAGUGCAGAGGAAGGGUUCCAUCCAUACUUGACCUGUUGCCAGGCCUGGUAACCUACAUCUAUUACAUCUAAGCCCUCAAAAUGGGACAUGAAUGGAUGCUUUUCUAUUGGCCUGAAGAUAUUAGCUUUGUGGAAGGUGAAAUGAAGGAUAAAGAUGCUGCCAAGGUAAUUCCACCAGGAGGUCCCGAAUUAUAUACAUACAACACACAGGAUUCCUGGACCAUAAAGUGCUGAAGCUGACAAGAGGCAUGAAAAAGAAUCCAGUUCUUCACACAUAUGAUGAGAGAAGCCCAGAAGAGUAAAAUGAUAUGUCUUAAUCAGUUCAAUCAGCUGGAUUAGCUUUUAUUGGGUUAAGUGCACCUAAUAUAUAAAUUCCAAAGUCAAGUUG
ensembl:lncRNA